rnacentral:tRNA from 4 species
GUGAGUGUAGCUCAACGGUUAGAGCAUCGGACUGUGGAUCCGAAGGUUGGGGGUUCGAUUCCCCUCACUCACCCCA